rnacentral:rRNA from 1 species
ACUAGCAGUAAGAGUUUGAUCAUGGCUCAGAACGAACGCUGGCGGCAUGCCUAACACAUGCAAGUCGAACGAGACCUUCGGGUCUAGUGGCGCACGGGUGCGUAACGCGUGGGAAUCUGCCCUUCGGUUCGGAAUAACAGCUAGAAAUGACUGCUAAUACCGGAUGAUGACUUCGGUCCAAAGAUUUAUCGCUGAGAGAUGGGCCUGCGUACCAUUAGCUAGUUGGUGAGGUAACGGCUCACCAAGGCAAAGAUGGUUAGCUGGUCUGAGAGGAUGAUCAGCCACACUGGAACUGAGACACGGUCCAGACUCCUACGGGAGGCAGCAGUGGGGAAUAUUGCGCAAUGGGCGAAAGCCUGACGCAGCAACGCCGCGUGAGUGAUGAAGGCCUUCGGGUCGUAAAGCUCUUUUACCCGGGAAGAUAAUGACUGUACCGGGAGAAUAAGCCCCGGCUAACUCCGUGCCAGCAGCCGCGGUAAUUC